rnacentral:misc_RNA from 1 species
GAGAGUGAGAGAGAAAUCAUCUAUGAGAAGUUUUUAGUUUUGACCCAGGAGGUGGGUGGCCGUCGAUUCUUGAAACGUCAAUCCCUGGCCGUUGAUCUCUUCUUCAUGCUCUGCGACAUCCAUCUUCCUCUUUUUGUUUGAGGAGGAGCCUGUGAAUCUGUUUAGCUUCUUCUAUGCGUCUACUAGCUCUUCCUUUUACCUAGCUAACACGUGGCUCUAUAAAUGCUGUCACUUUAUAAAAACCCAAUGGGCUUCAAUAGGACAUACGGUGGAGAUCUGUAGGUAGUUUUUCUCCCGGUAAGAACGUUUCGAUCCCAUUGUUAGGUUUUUUGACUUCUACUUCUUCUUCUUCUUGCUGUUCGGAUUCCGAGAAAGUGGCUGGAAAUGGCAGCGAUUUAUAGCUUAUAUAUUAUCAACAAAUCAGGUGGUUUGAUCUUCUAC